rnacentral:rRNA from 1 species
CUCCUACGGGAGGCAGCAUCGGGGAAGUCUUGCGCUAAUAGGGCGAAAGCCUGACGGACCAGCCAUGCCGCGUGAAUGAUGAAGGUCUUAGGAUUGUAAAAGUUCUUUACAGUCAGGGACGAUAAUGACGGUACCUGCAGAAGAAGCCCGGCUAACUUCGUGCCAGCCGCCGCGGUAAUAC